rnacentral:rRNA from 1 species
AUUGAACGCUGGCGGAAGGCCUAACACAUGCAAGUCGAACGAGUGGCGGACGGGUGAGUAAUGUCUCGGAACCUGCCUGAUGGCGGGGGAUAACUACUGGAAACGGUAGCUAAUACCGCAUACCAUCAGAUCUGCCCAUAUGGGAUUAGCUAGUUGGUGGGGUAACGGCUCACCAAGGCGACGAUCCGUAGCUGGUCUGAGAGGAUGACCAGCCACACUGGAACGGAGACACGGUCCAGACUCCUACGGGAGGCAGCAGUGGGGAAGAUUGGACAAUGGGGGAAAGCCUGAUGCAGCCAUGCCGCGUGUAUGAAGAAGGCCUUCGGGUUGUAAAGUACUUUUGGCGGGGAGGCGGUACCCGCAGAAGAAGCACCGGCUAACUCCGUGCCAGCAGCCGCGGUAAUUC